rnacentral:rRNA from 1 species
UACGAAAGGGGCUAGCGUUGUUCGGAAUUACUGGGCGUAAAGCGCACGUAGGUGGAUUGCUAAGUCAGGGGUGAAAUCCCGAGGCUCAACCUCGGAACUGCCUUUGAUACUGGCAAUCUCGAGUCCGGGAGAGGUGAGUGGAAUUCCUAGUGUAGAGGUGAAAUUCGUAGAUAUUAGGAAGAACACCAGUGGCGAAGGCGGCUCACUGGCCCGGUACUGACACUGAGGUGCGACAGCGUGGGGAGCAAACAGG